rnacentral:rRNA from 1 species
UGAGGAACAUGACCUUCGGCGGGGGAUAGCCGGCCCAACGGCCGGGUAAUACCGCGUACGACCACAUGGGGACAUCCCUGAGUGGUGAAAGCAGCAAUGCGCCGAUGGAGUGCCUCGCGGCCUAUCAGCUAGUUGGUGAGGUAACGGCUCACCAAGGCGACGACGGGUANCUGGUCUGAGAGGAUGGCCAGCCACAUUGGGACUGAGACACGGCCCAGACCUCACGGGAG